rnacentral:pre_miRNA from 12 species
CUCGUCAGGCUCAGUCCCCUCCCGAUAAAUCCUAAAUCCGGACCUUCUGGGGGGCUGACCCCAGCU